CCUACGGGGGGCAGCAGUGGGGAAUAUUGCACAAUGGGGGAAACCCUGAUGCAGCGACGCCGCGUGUGGGAAGACGGUCCUCUGGAUUGUAAACCACUGUCCCCAGGGACGAAGAUGACGGUACCUGGGGAGGAAGCUCCGGCUAACUACGUGCCAGCAGCCGCGGUAAUACGUAGGGAGCGAGCGUUGUCCGGAAUUACUGGGUGUAAGGGGAGCGUAGGCGGGACUGCAAGUUGGGUGUCAAAUCUACCGGCUCAACCGGUAGCCGCACUCAAAACUGCAGUUCUUGAGUGAAGUAGAGGCAGGCGGAAUUCCUAGUGUAGCGGUGAAAUGCGUAGAUAUUAGGAGGAACACCAGUGGCGAAGGCGGCCUGCUGGGCUUUUACUGACGCUGAGGCUCGAAAGUGUGGGGAGCAAACAGGAUUAGAUACCCCUGUAGUC
rnacentral:rRNA from 1 species